UUAGCUUAGUGGUAGAGCGUCUGCUUCGUAAGCAGAAGGUCGUCAGUUCAAUCCUGGCAA
rnacentral:tRNA from 1 species